rnacentral:hammerhead_ribozyme from 1 species
AUCCAGCUGACGAGUCCCAAAUAGGAUGUAACACACGUCAAACUAGAU